rnacentral:rRNA from 1 species
UACGUAGGGUGCGAGCGUUAUCCGGAAUUAUUGGGCGUAAAGAGCUCGUAGGCGGUUUGUCACGUCUGCUGUGAAAACUGGAGGCUCAACCUCCAGCCUGCAGUGGGUACGGGCAGACUAGAGUGCGGUAGGGGAGAUUGGAAUUCCUGGUGUAGCGGUGGAAUGCGCAGAUAUCAGGAGGAACACCGAUGGCGAAGGCAGAUCUCUGGGCCGUUACUGACGCUGAGGAGCGAAAGCGUGGGGAGCGAACAGG